AGGGGCGGAGGGCGGGGGCUGGGCUUCUUCCUCGGUGCGUUCCCGGUGCUGGCCGCCGCCGCGCUCGCUCCCCGCGCUGGCUUCAGGAGCGACCCGGCCGGGGGAACUUGCCGCUUGGGAGGGGACACCCACUGGAUGGCUUCUGGCAAGAGCCGGACUCGCAGGGCCAGGACGCAGGCCGGACCCUGGCCUCAUUCUUCGGCCAGUUAUCCCGGAGUGGCGCGCAUCCUGUCUUCCAGGGCCUCGGACUCCUCGCGGGCAGAGGGGGCCCGAGGACACCUCUGUGAGGUUAGAGGACUCGGUAUGACGGUGUGGAAGGCAACGAGGAAGGUUGCGUUGUAUUGGGGAUGGGGUACCCGUCCCUCCCAGCUUGAGGGAUCCUGGGGGUCCUCGCCGCCUCUGAGGGCCUAGAUGGCUGCUUCCCUCGGCUCCCCUGCCCGGCCUGGAGCUACGGGUGCGCCCAGCUAGAGUUUAGGGCCACCUGGGGACGUGCAAGGGGCGCUGGAGCGAGGCGGGGGCUGAGGCGGGGGCUGGGGCGGGGCGUGGGUGCUUCACCCGCGGGACGCAGAGCUUAGGCGAAAGCGGUGCAGGCAUCUCUCUAAUCGCCGGCCGCUAUUAAAAAUAAAACCGCGACCCGUCGCCAUGGCGACCACAACAACAGCGGCCGCGCGAGGGAGGCGAAAACUUGUGCAGCCGCGCGACAGCCGCCUUCUGGGGAGACUCGGGGCACGGCGCACCCGGCGUGGGACUGGGACCCCCCUGCCCGGCCCCGCCACAUUCUCCGCCGGAUCCCCGGAAGAAACAGGGAGACGUGGACCCCCACAGGCUUUAUGGGGGGAUUGGGCGUUGAAACCGCAGGGCUGACUUAACCAAGAGGUCACCGACUUGGAUAAAAACCCACGCCCGCGCGGACCCCCCUCCCCGGCCUUCGUUUCCAUUCAAACUCCCAGCGUCCUCAUCGCAGCCCCUGGGGAGGGGGACGGAGGGACGAGGUGGGUUUCAGGUGCUCGGCCCAGGAGGGGACGGUGCGACCCGGGCCCCGCCGGCGGCUUUUGCGCGCGGAGGCUGCAGCACCUGCCCCGCCCGCCCUGCCGCGAUCCUUGCAGAUGGGGGCGGUCACGUGCUGCUUUCUGGCCAGAAAUCGAGUUUCACUCCCAGCCGCUAUUAGUCGGUUCGCACAGUUCACUGCAAACAUUUGAUAAUGAGGCUAAAUAUACUCCCGCGUCGGAGGAGGCGUGGGCGGCCCGGGAGACAGAGGCGCGGACCCCAGGACGGAGCCUGGCUUUGUGCGGCCGCCCCCGAAACAUUCCCACCCCAGGCUGCGGCGCGCGUCUGGGAGUCCGUGGGCGCCCCGAGGUGAGCCCGGGGCCCCGGGCGGAAGCAGCGGGGAGCUCCCGGCGGGUGCGGGGAGGUGCUGGUGGGAAGCAAGGUGCACCUGGCGGCCUGGGAUGUCCGGUCGCCCCCGGAGCCGGUGCAUCCGGCCUCUCCCGGCGCCCCCCGACGUGCCCGCGGGCCCAUAAUUACCGUGAGUCAGGUGCUCUAAAUAGGCCGAGCGAGGGGGGCCGUCGCGCAGCAGGGGCGGGUGGCCGGACGUCUGCCCCGGACUGGUUCGCUCCCGCCCCUCCACAAGACCCUGGCACCCAGGGAGGGCGGGAAAGGCCUUGGCCAUUCCUGUGGGUAGGGGACUGGAGAGGGGAAGAAACUUUCGCCGAGCCCAGCGCUGCCCCCUCAUACCCAUCCCCACCCCGGCUGCGUGUCCGGGGCCCCUCCGGGGCUUGGCACCAGCAGGCACGCAGCGAUCGCCGUCGUUGUUAUUUACUAGUAGUGGUAGUGACGGCUGACAUUUACAGCGACGUCGAUGGUGCCAGGUGCCAAGCUCUUUCCUUGUAUAACUUCAUGGACACUCACAUCAACUCUAAGCGAAGACUUGCAGCGGGGCUCAGCACCCCAGGGGCACCUCUGCAACCGCGGUAAAUAUAGACUAUCCUCCAUUCGCAGGGGCAUUUGUAGGUGGGUUGUACAGGCAGGAACAGGAAAGACGCUAUACCCAGGAGCAGGGGUGGCAGCCAACACCCCCUGGAUCCCCAGUUCCAAGGUGCGGGGAGGGGGGCACAGGCAAGUUCCCUCCGCUCUCUGCCCCUUGACCUUCGCCUUGGUGAGAUCUGUCCCUAGACUGCCCUGGGUGUCUGUUCCCUCAUCUGAAAAGCUGGAGGCCAACAGCCGUCACUGCGCACAGCUGCCUCCACUGUCAGGAAAAGCUGUGCUAGGGUGCCCUGGGCAAGGGCACUGCUGGCCACCUGCCUGCGCCUGGGUUGGGGGUGGGGGGACCAGCUGGGCACCCAAAUCCUGGCCUCUGCCCCCAGUGCCAGAGCAGAUUUCAGAACAAUUUGUAAUGAUGAAACCCCACGUUUCCCUUUAUCUCUGGGCAAGGCUUUCUUCGUUCUAGGCAAUUAAUCCAAAAGCAACACCAGCCGAGUGGGCUGAACUCCUUGAAGAUGAAAACUGCCCAGCGCAGGCGUUAAUUAAGUCAUUAUCUCAGGCCCCCAGUGACUAGGGAUCAGGCCUUUCCAGUUCACACUCCCCAGAAAGGGAGAUAACCGCCCCGACAGCAGGGUGGGAAGGCUCUCUCUCCAUGUUGUUUUAACUCCCUAUUAAAUCAUUUUCUUUUAAAUACACAAACAGAAAUGAAGUUGAAAAUAGCACACGGGCGCACAAUCAUUGUGUGAACAUUUUGUGAAUGAACACAUGUAUGAAAGGACGUUUGGCGGCUUCAAGAAACGAAAGCCGAGAGUCUAGCUAGACCAGGGCCAUCCAGCCCAGGAGCGAUGGCCACGUGUUGCCGCUGGACACGAGAGACGUGGCCGGUCCAAACUGCACAGUGCUGUAAGUGCAGAACACACACCAGCUUUCGGAGGCUUAGUAAAGAAUGCAAAAUUUCUCAAUUGGGAAUUUUUGUAUGAAUUUCAGGUUGAAAAAAACAUUUUGGAUAUAUGGAAUUAAAUAAACAUGAUUACAAUGACUUUCACUGUUAGCCUCCCGGAGGCUCGUCUUGCUCCGCUGGACCACAGCCAGCUCAGAGGGUCGCUCUAGGAAAUAUCCACACAUUCUUUAAGCACAGGUUUAUGUGCCAGGCACUGUGCUAAGUGCUGAGGACACGGCGCUAAGACCAGGCCCUCACGGAGCUCUCAGUCUCUGAGGAGAAACAGGAAGCCAGAGAUCGUAGCGGGUGCAGCAUUUCAGGGGCAGUGGAAGCCAUUGGAGGACUUCAGGCAGGAACACAAGGUGUCGUGGCAUAAAGGAAGAAGGGGCCGGGCACGGUGGCCCACACCUGUCAUCCCAGCACUUUGGGAGGGAGGCCAAGGCAGGAGGAUCGCUUCAGCCCAGGAGUUCAAGAUCAGCCUGGGCAACACAGCAAGACCCCGUCUCUACUAAAACCCUAAAACUUAGCCAGGCUUGGUGGCAUGUGCCUAAGGUCCCAGGUCCCAGGUCCUUGGGAGACUAAGGCAGGAGGAUCACUUAAGCCCAAGAGUUUGAGGCUGCAGUGAACUAUUAUCACACCACUGCACUCAGCCUGGGUGACAGAGUGACUGUCUCAAAACUAAAUAAAUAAAGGAACAA